rnacentral:rRNA from 1 species
UAGCGACAGGCUUAACACAUGCAAGUCGAGGGGCAGCACAGGUAGCAAUACCGGGUGGCGACCGGCGCACGGGUGAGUAACGCGUAUGCAACUUACCUAUCCGAGGGGGAUAACCCGGCGAAAGUCGGACUAAUACCGCAUGAAGCAGGGGUCCCGCAUGGGGAUAUUUGCUAAAGAUUCAUCGCUGAUAGAUAGGCAUGCGUUCCAUUAGGCAGUUGGCGGGGUAACGGCCCACCAAACCGACGAUGGAUAGGGGUUCUGAGAGGAAGGUCCCCCACAUUGGUACUGAGACACGGACCAAACUCCUACGGGAGGCAGCAGUGAGGAAUGUUGGUCAAUGGCCGAGAGGCUGAACCAGCCAAGUCGCGUGAGGGAUGAAGGUUCUAUGGAUCGUAAACCUCUUUUAUAAGGGAAUAAAGUGCGGGACGUGUCCCGUUUUGUAUGUACCUUAUGAAUAAGGAUCGGCUAACUCCGUGCCAGCAGCCGCGGUAAUACGGAGGAUCCGAGCGUUAUCCGGAUUUAUUGGGUUUAAAGGGUGCGUAGGCGGCCUUUUAAGUCAGCGGUGAAAGUCUGUGGCUCAACCAUAGAAUUGCCGUUGAAACUGGGGGGCUUGAGUAUGUUUGAGGCAGGCGGAAUGCGUGGUGUAGCGGUGAAAUGCAUAGAUAUCACGCAGAACCCCGAUUGCGAAGGCAGCCUGCCAAGCCAUUACUGACGCUGAUGCACGAAAGCGUGGGGAUCAAACAGGAUUAGAUACCCUGGUAGUCCACGCAGUAAACGAUGAUCACUAGCUGUUUGCGAUACACUGUAAGCGGCACAGCGAAAGCGUUAAGUGAUCCACCUGGGGAGUACGCCGGCAACGGUGAAACUCAAAGGAAUUGACGGAGGCCCGCACAAGCGGAGGAACAUGUGGUUUAAUUCGAUGAUACGCGAGGAACCUUACCCGGGUUUGAACGCAUUCGGACCGAGGUGGAAACACCUUUUCUAGCAAUAGCCGUUUGCGAGGUGCUGCAUGGUUGUCGUCAGCUCGUGCCGUGAGGUGUCGGCUUAAGCGCCAUAACGAGCGCAACCCUUGCCACUAGUUACUAACAGGUAAAGCUGAGGACUCUGGUGGGACUGCCAGCGUAAGCUGCGGGGAAGGCGGGGAUGACGUCAAAUCAGCACGGCCCUUACAUCCGGGGCGACACACGUGUUACAAUGGCGUGGACAAAGGGAAGCCACCUGGCGACAGGGAGCGAAUCCCCAAACCACGUCUCAGUUCGGAUCGGAGUCUGCAACCCGACUCCGUGAAGCUGGAUUCGCUAGUAAUCGCGCAUCAGCCAUGGCGCGGUGAAUACGUUCCCGGGCCUUGUACACACCGCCCGUCAAGCCAUGGGAGCCGGGGGUACCUGAAGUCCGUAACCGCGAGGAUCGGCCUAGGGUAAAACUGGUGACUGGGGCUAAGUCGU